rnacentral:rRNA from 1 species
UGGCAGACGGGUGAGUAACAUGUGGGUAUCUACCCUUUGGCCUGGAAUAACACGAGGAAACUUGUGCUAAUACCGGAUAAGUCUUUACGGAGAAAGCUUUAUGCACCAUUGGAUGAGCCCGCACUUGAUUAGUUUGUUGGUAGGGUAAUGGCCUACCAAGACUAUGAUCAAUAGCUGAUUUGAGAGGAUGAUCAGCCACAUUGGGACUGAGACACGGCCCAAACUCCUACGGGAGGCAGCAGUGGGGAAUCUUGCACAAUGGAGGAAACUCUGAUGCAGCGAUGCCGCGUGAGUGAAGAAGGCCUUUGGGUUGUAAAGCUCUUUCGUCGGGGAAGAAAAUGACUGUACCCGAAUAAGAAGGUCCGGCUAACUUCGUGCCAGCAGCCGCGGUAAUACGAAGGGACCUAGCGUAGUUCGGAAUUACUGGGCUUAAAGAGUUCGUAGGUGGUUGAAAAAGUUGGUGGUGAAAUCCCAGAGCUUAACUCUGGAACUGCCAUCAAAACUUUUCAGCUAGAGUAUGAUAGAGGAAAGCA